UGUGUUUCUCUAUUCUGGAGCUGACUCCUAGAGCCCUCAAGCUGGAUUUGAAGGAGAAGCUGUUUGGACAGCAUGUUGCCGCGGAAGUGAUUCUCAAGGCACUGACUGGCUUCAGAAGCAACAGAAAUUCCUAGAAACAACUAAUUCUUUCCUUACGUGGCUGAGCUGGCAUAGGCAAGAAUUUUGUCAGCCAAAUUGUGGCUGAACGUCUUCACUCAAAAGGCCUGAAGAGUAACUCUCCACCUAUUUGUACUAACUCUGUACUUCCCUCAUGAGCAAAAGAUAGACCAGUUACAGAAGUGGAUUCAUGGUAAUGUGAGUGCAUAUUCCAGCUAUUUUCAUAUUUGACAAGAUGCAUAAAUUCCACCCCCAGGGUUGUCAACACAAUCAGUCUGUUUCUAGACCACUACAAAAAGGUUUUUACCAAAAAGCCAUCUUCAUCUUUCCCAGAAACAUAGACAGGGACCUCAUAACUGAGAUAGCUCUUGACUUUUGGUGGGUAGGAGGAAGGAGGGAAGACAUUUAGCUGAAGGACCUGGAACCUGUGCCGUCUGAUAGUCUUCAAUAAUAAGCACAGUGGUCUGUGGUGCAAUGGACUGAUCAACAAAACCUUAAUCAAUUACUUUACCUUUUUCCUGCCGAUGAAGUACAGACGUGAAAAUAUGCAUGAAGGCAGAGAUGAGGGCCCAUGGUUCUGCUAUAGAUGAAGACAUUGUCACAAGAGUGGCAGAGGAAAUGACGCUUUUCCCCAAAGACAAGAAAAUCUACUCAGUCAAGAGCUGUAAGACUGAACAAUGACAGCUAGAUUUCCAC
rnacentral:lncRNA from 1 species